rnacentral:rRNA from 1 species
UACGGAGGAUGCGAGCGUUAUCCGGAUUUAUUGGGUUUAAAGGGUGCGUAGGCGGGCUUUUAAGUCAGCGGUAAAAAUUCGGGGCUCAACCCCGUCGAGCCGUUGAAACUGGGUGCCUUGAGUGGGCGAGAAGUACGCGGAAUGCGUGGUGUAGCGGUGAAAUGCAUAGAUAUCACGCAGAACUCCGAUUGCGAAGGCAGCGUACCGGCGCCCAACUGACGCUGAAGCACGAAGGCGUGGGUAUCGAACAGG